rnacentral:rRNA from 1 species
CCUACGGGAGGCAGCAGUGAGGAAUAUUGGUCAAUGGUCGGGAGACUGAACCAGCCAAGCCGCGUGAGGGAUGAAGGUACAGAGUAUCGUAAACCUCUUUUGUCAGGGAACAAAGGCGGGGACGUGUCCCCGGAUGAGUGUACCUGACGAAUAAGCAUCGGCUAACUCCGUGCCAGCAGCCGCGGUAAUACGGAGGAUGCGAGCGUUAUCCGGAUUUAUUGGGGUUAAAGGGUGCGCAGGCGGUCUGUUAAGUCAGCGGUGAAAGCCCGGGGCUCAACCCCGGCCCCGCCGUUGAUACUGGCAGGCUCGAGUGGGAGUGAAGUAGGCGGAAUGCGCGGUGUAGCGGUGAAAUGCAUAGAGAUCGCGCAGAACUCCGAUUGCGAAGGCAGCAUGCCAGGUCCACACUGACGCUGAGGCACGAAAGCGUGGGUAUCGAACAGGAUUAGAUACCCGGGUAGUC